rnacentral:rRNA from 1 species
AUUGAACGCUGGCGGCAUGCCUUACACAUGCAAGUCGAACGGUAACAGGUUAAGCUGGCGAGUGGCGAACGGGUGAGUAAUGUAUCGGAACGUGCCCAGUCGUGGGGGAUAACUUCUCGAAAGAGCAGCUAAUACCGCAUACGACCUGAGGGUGAAAGCGGGGGAUCGCAAGGCCUCGCGCGAUUGGAGCGGCCGAUAUCAGAUUAGGUAGUUGGUGAGGUAAAGGCUCACUAAGCCGACGAUCUGUAGCUGGUCUGAGAGGACGACCAGCCACACGGGGACUGAGACACGGCCCAGACUCCUACGGGAGGCAGCAGUGGGGAAUUUUGGACAAUGGGCGCAAGCCUGAUCCAGCCAUGCCGCGUGCGGGAAGAAGGCCUUCGGGUUGUAAACCGCUUUUGUCAGGGAAGAAAAGGUUCUGGCUAAUACCUGGGACUCAUGACGGUACCUGAAGAAUAAGCACCGGCUAACUACGUG